rnacentral:rRNA from 1 species
GGGUUGUGAGGUUAAGCGACUAAGCGUACACGGUGGAUGCCCUGGCAGUCAGAGGCGAUGAAGGGCGUGCUAAUCUGCGAUAAGCGCCGGUAAGGUGAUAUGAACCGUUAUAACCGGCGAUACCCGAAUGGGGAAACCCAGUGUGACUCGUCACACUAUCAUUAACUGAAUCCAUAGGUUAAUGAGGCGAACCGGGGGAACUGAAACAUCUAAGUACCCCGAGGAAAAGAAAUCAACCGAGAUUCCCCCAGUAGCGGCGAGCGAACGGGGAGGAGCCCAGAGCCUGAAUCAGCAUGUGUGUUAGUGGAAGCGUCUGGAAAGGCGCGCGAUACAGGGUGACAGCCCCGUACACAAAAGCGCAUGUGCUGUGAGCUCGAUGAGUAGGGCGGGACACGUGGUAUCCUGUCUGAAUAUGGGGGGACCAUCCUCCAAGGCUAAAUACUCCUGACUGACCGAUAGUGAACCAGUACCGUGAGGGAAAGGCGAAAAGAACCCCGGCGAGGGGAGUGAAAAAGAACCUGAAACCGUGUACGUACAAGCAGUGGGAGCCCCACCACCAAAGCAUUCUCUGGUGUUGAAGGCCCUGCAAAGCAGCAUCGCGGUGGCGGAGCGUCGUUUGCGACGCCCAACACACAAAACAAGCGGUGAGUGCUUUGGGGUGGGG